AUUUUCUACUGCAUUCUUCAGCCCAGACAAACAAAGCCAUGUAUUAUUCUUGGCAACUUAAUACUGGCUGGCCUGUGACCUGAAUGGAAUGGACACCAGGAGGUGGGGAGAGAAGAUGGUAGCUAAGGUGUGGAAGACGGAGCAGAAGGCUUCCAAGAUGCAGGAGAUGAAUUGUGGGCUCCAAUCCAACCCAAGGUACUGGGAGAAGCCAUGGAAGCAAACUACAUGUUGGAGAGCCAGGUGCGCCAUGCCAGCAGCUGACAGAAGUCUGGGGAGAGAAAUGAAGUGGGCCAUCUUGGAGAACUGGUCCAAACUAUCAUGCUCAGUGUGGACCCAUCUGAAGGUGGAACUCUCCUGUUUUAAUGGAUGUCUUUGAAGAACAAGAAUUCCAGGUAUACUGUAUAUUGUAUACAUUCUCUGAUAUUAAAUGAAACUAUUGGAACAAUUGAACUACUGAGCAAUUGCCUCCUGGGCAACUUUGCCAUAUGAGCAAUCAGAAUCAGUAAGGUGCAACUGGGUUGGGAUUGAAAACCUUGUGUCUCUUUGGGAGCAUUCAGAAGUCCAGUAAGUGAGUGAUGGAGAGCCCCCUUUUCUAACAACAGGUGUCCACCAUACACUCUAGAGGUUUCAUGACUGUCUCAUCACCCAGCACAGUCUGGAGUGGAAGCAAGUGACCCUCAACAUCAACAGACUGUUCAAGAAGAAGAAGUAGACCUGGUGUUUUCUAGAGGAGUGAUUUUAUACCAAGUAGAUGUUGUACUGUAUCAAGGGCACCGCUUACUGUUCCAAUAUUUGACCAGUUUGCUCGGCAACUGGCUGAUCAGUAGCUCAAGAAGAUGCCAAGGUUGCAACGAUGAUAAGUGGGAUGUCAGAAAAUUAGAGAGAAAGAAUCAUCUUCCUAUUCUCUCAUGGCACAUCUGGCCCCCUAAAUCUGCUCCACCAUCGCAGUGACCCCUGGUUCUGUCUCUUUGGAAUUUGCCCAUUCGUGAUGUCACCCUGAGGGUUUCUCCUGGAGCUACCAAUUUCUAAGAGAAUCACGCAGGUUACUAGAUAAGAUGCCCACUGUAAA